UGCCCCGUGGCUGAGUUGGUUACAGCGUCCGACUGUUAUUUAGAAUGAGGCAAUCGGAAGGUCGUGAGUUCGAGCCUCACCGGGGCAG